rnacentral:rRNA from 1 species
UGGGCGUAAAGAGCUCGUAGUUGGUCGUUACGUCGAUUGUGAAAAUCUGGGGUCAACCCCAGACNUGCAUCCGAUACGGUCGAGCUAGAGUUUGGUAGGGGAGACUGGAAUCCCUGGUGUAGCGGUGGAAUGCGCAGAUAUCAGGAGGAACACCAAUGGCGAAGGCAGGUCUCUGGGCCAAUACUGACACUGAGGAGCGAAAGCGUGGGGAGCGAACAGGAUUAGAUACCCUGGUAGUCCACGCCGUAAACGGUGGGCGCUAGUUGUGGGAACCUUCCACGGUUUCUGCGACGCAGCUAACGCAUUAAGCGCCCCGCCUGGGGAGUACGAUCGCAAGAUUAAAACUCAAAGGAAUUGACGGGGCCCCGCACAAGCAGCGGAGCAUGCGGCUUAAUUCGACGCAACGCGAAGAACCUUACCAAGGCUUGACAUAUACAGGAAUACGGCAGAGAUGUCGUAGCGGUAAAACGUCUGUAUACAGGUGGUGCAUGGUUGUCGUCAGCUCGUGUCGUGAGAUGUUGGGUUAAGUCCCGCAACGAGCGCAACCCUCGUUCUGUGUUGCCAGCAUUUAGUUGGGGACUCACAGGAGACUGCCGGGGUUAACUCGGAGGAAGGUGGGGAUGACGUCAAAUCAUCAUGCCCCUUAUGUCUUGGGCUGCACGCAUGCUACAAUGGCUGGUACAAAGGGCUGCAAUACUGCAAAGUGGAGCGAAUCCCAAAAAGCCAGUCUCAGUUCGGAUUGGGGUCUGCAACUCGACCCCAUGAAGUCGGAGUUGCUAGUAAUCGUAGAUCAGCAACGCUACGGUGAAUACGUUCCCGGACCUUGUACACACCGCCCGUCA